UAGGGAAUCUUCCACAAUGGACGCAAGUCUGAUGGAGCAACGCCGCGUGAGUGAAGAAGGUUUUUCGGACCGUAAAGCUCUGUUGUUGGUGAAGAAGGAUAGAGGUAGUAACUGGCCUUUAUUUGACGGUAAUCAACCAGAAAGUCACGGCUAACUACGUGCCAGCAGCCGCGGUAAUACGUAGGUGGCAAGCGUUGUCCGGAUUUAUUGGGCGUAAAGCGAGCGCAGGCGGAAGAAUAAGUCUGAUGUGAAAGCCCUCGGCUUAACCGAGGAAUUGCAUCGGAAACUGUUUUUCUUGAGUGCAGAAAGAGGAGAGUAGAACUCCAUGUGUAGCGGUGGAAUGCGUAGAUAUAUGGAAGAAUACCAGUGGCGAAGGCGGCUCUCUGGUCUGCAAACUGACGCUGAGGCUCGAAAAGCA
rnacentral:rRNA from 1 species